rnacentral:lncRNA from 1 species
ACUAAAUCCCAAAUAUAAUCAACCUCGGGGAAAGGUUUCAAGGCUUUUAAGUAGCCAAGCAGUAAUGCACAUGGAAGUGAAAAACAUGCAUUGAGACAAGGGGAAGGGGGAUAAGGGAGAACAUGCUGAGUUAAACUAGUAGACUAACAACUUCAUGCUAGUGGCAAUAACAACAAUUGAACCAUAGGUAAAAGCACGCAAGAAAUAGUAUGAAUUUUAAAACUAAAAGGAGCAUGUUGUUUUGGAGGCUAUAUCCGAAAUAGGUGACAUACCAGUUGCAGGAAAUGAGAUACAAUAGCAAUGCAUAAUACACAAAGGGAGGGAAAAGUGUGCAAAGAAUGACAGCAGCAGUGUGAGUAACAGCAAUAUGAGAAUAGCAACAACAAUAUGAGAACAGCAACAACAAUAUGAGAACAACAACAGCAAUAUGAGAACAGCAGCAGCAACAGACCCAAUGUAGACAAACAAAUAGAACCCAGUAUUGUAAAGUAAUCAACCCAGGCUAUCAAAUCUUGGCUCUGAUCCAAUUGAGUGUUCAAACAAGAGAAUGAUAUAGUAUAGUAAUACCAGAGGAAGAGAGAAUUCAGAGAGUCCGAGGUUGUGAGAGCAGUGUGUGUUGGUGUGUUCAAAGAGAAAGGUGAGG